GGCACGGCAGCCGAGCAGUCUGCACCAUGGCGUACCCUGGGCACCCUGGCGCCGGCGGCGGGUACUAUCCAGGCGGGUAUGGAGGGGCUCCUGGAGGGCCUGCGUUUCCCGGACAGACACAAGAUCCGCUGUAUGGCUACUUUGCUGCUGUAGCCGGACAGGAUGGGCAAAUAGAUGCUGAUGAAUUGCAGAGAUGUCUGACACAAUCUGGCAUUGCAGGAGGAUACAAACCUUUUAACCUGGAGACUUGUCGGCUUAAGGUCUCAAUGCUGGAUAGAGAGAUGUCUGGCACAAUGGGUUUCAAUGAAUUUAAAGAACUCUGGGCUGUACUGAAUGGCUGGAGACAACACUUCAUCAGCUUUGACCGCGACAGGAGUGGAACAGUGGAUCCUCAAGAAUUGCUGAAGGCCCUGACAACAAUGGGAUUUAGGUUGAGUCCCCAGGCCGUGAAUUCAAUUGCAAAGCGAUACAGCACCAAUGGGAAGAUCACCUUUGAUACUGCCCAGCAAGGUGUUGUGAAUUUCCCAUAUGAUGAUUUCAUUCAAUGUGUCAUGAGUGUUUAGGUGAGGAGGAAGCUGCAUGAACUGGUCAACAUUCCAACUGGAGUUAGCAUCUGCUCUUAACUUUUUGCCUUCAGUAAUGUGUGUAAAUUACACCGCCGCUUUCCCUUAGCAGCUAUUGUAAAGGUUUAUUACAUUAUGUACGACUGAAGUUUUAAAUUUUGAUAAUAAAUUCUUUGGAACUU